AUGCAUGUCUAAGUACAAGCCGUCGUAAGGUGAAACCGCGAACAGCUCAUUAAAUCAGUCUCGGUUUACUAGACGGAAGGGCGACCGCAAAUGGAUAACUGCGGAAAUCCUGGAGCUAAUACAUGCCAUUGACGCGGCGACGUUCUAACGAACGGAGCCCAGCCUUUAUUAGACCGACCGGAAAGCUUCGCUUGCGUAGCCUUCCUACGGUGACUCCGGGUAACCGACAGUGGAUCGCAAGGCCACCGAGCCCGCGACGCAUCUUUCAAGGGUCUGCCUCAUCAACUAGACGGUUCGCAAAACGCCGACCGUGGUGGCGACGGGUGACGGAGAAUUAGGGUUCGAUUCCGGAGAGGGAGCCUGAGAGAUCGCUACCACA
rnacentral:rRNA from 7 species